rnacentral:misc_RNA from 1 species
GAACAUUAUGUACUAUGAAAUCCUACAUGAAAGAUAACGAAUGACUUUCUCAGAUCGUUCCAAUUAUUUCCAGAAGAAACACUCAGUUUCACUCAACCACCACCCGGUAACCUAUUUGUACAUUAUGGCAGAGCUCAUAAUUAAGAACAUUUUGUCAGUUUUCUUAAGAGAAGGAUAACGAAAUUAUAUAUAUAUAAAAAGUGCUCAUAAGUCAUACCUGAGUGUGAUCAGUGAAAUGU